CCCUUUACCUGGACAGAAAGCUCUCUUAAAGAGACAGCGGCCGCACUUAGCGGCUCUGUCGACGGGGAGUCGUGGCUUAGCCCGGGAGAGCAUUGACGACGCGUUUGUAUGACUCCCGCGACUUCCUCUUAUUCUAGGCUGAGUUGUUUUUUAACAAGCCGACCGGCAAGGCCUUGAAGUCACACCGUGACCAGUUACAACUCUUGCAGCAUCCCCAUGGCCACCUGAUCAAAAUUCAGAUGCUUGACCACGGAUUGAUGUUGAUGAGGGUUGCAGUGUCCCGGGUUCAUGUGAUUCCCUUUUGUGAUCUUACGACAAGCAAAGGCGAUGGGGAAGCCAGAUUCAUUUAAUAACCAUGUACUAACUUAAAUGCAGUGAUUAACUUAACAAGUGUGGCAAGAAAGGUCGUAAAAUGAGGCAAAAUUCACUUCACAAAUGUCUCACUUAGCAGUGGAAAUUUUGGGCUCGGUUAUGGCCGUAAGUCGAGGACUAUCUGUAGCGUAUCUGCUCUUCAGCUGAAAGAUAUCAUGAGAGGGGAAAGAAGCAGCCAUCUAGAAAAGGAAGAGUGAAUCAUGAUAUAUAAAUGUACAUACUAAAAUCAUCUGGGUACAUACUAAAAUCAUCAAAUAGGGGUGAGUAGCAAAACUGUAUAUGAUUUAAGUAUACAAAAACUAUACAUACAUCAGAUACAUUAUAUAAAAUUGGACCGUGGGUAAUUGUGUAUAGGAAAAUAUUUUUUAAAAGAGGGAGAAAGGGACACCAGCCCAUUAACCUUUCCCCACCCCCAGGAGUCUAAAACUGAAUCCUGUCCCGGAAUUUCUCCUUGCUUAAAAGAAGUGGGGAGCCUGCAGCCAGAUAGGAGUCAUCAUGAGAUGGAAUACUGAACUUGCAAGAUAUCUUACUUCCCCUCCACCUCCAAAAAAAAGUUACAUUAAAUUUGAUCUUAUGAAACCUCUGAAUCCCACUCAGAAUUCUACAAUCAUUGGUAGAGAAGUUUCUCCUAUAAGGAAACAGAACAAUCUUUAUUUGAAAACCUCCAGAGAUGGAGCACCCAGAACUCCAGGAAGCAAUCUAUUCCAUUGUUUAAUUGUUCUCACUGUCAGGAAAUUUCUCCUUACUUCUAGGUAGGAUCUCUCCUUGACAAACUUUUACCCCUUACUUCUUGUUCUGCCUCUGGUGCUUUGGAGAAUAAGUCAAUCACCUCUCCGCUGUGACACUGCAACAAUGAAUGAGGACCCCAACAGCCAUUCUCACCAGUGGAAAAGUUAUGGGAGACCCAUAAGCCGGAUUUCAGUGUUCAGGGUAUCAAACAGUAUCCAACGAAAUUCUUGAUGACAUGCUACACUAAGCACCCCACUUAAUUUGUAAGAGCACAGUUGCUACCAUCUUACCACCAGCUUUUUAACUGACACAGCUGUUUAAUUAAAGUCCACCAUUUUUUGGUUUCUACUUCAAUCAAA